AAUGCGAGACUAGCAAUCCCAUAAACCGUGGCUCAGUUCAGAUCGUAGGCUGCAACUCGCCUACGUGAAGUAGGAAUCGCUAGUAAUCGCAGGUCAGCAUACUGCGGUGAAUACGUUCCCGGGCCUUGUACACACCGCCCGUCACACCAUGGAAGUUGGCCACGCCCGAAGUCGUUACUUUAACCCUUGUGGAGAAGGACGCCGAAGGUGGGGCUGAUGACUGGGGUGAAGUCGUAACAAGGUAGCCGUACCGGAAGGUGCAGCUGGAUCACCUCCUAA
rnacentral:rRNA from 1 species